GACGAACGCUGGCGGCGUGCUUAACACAUGCAAGUCGAACGGUAAGGCCCCUUCGGGGGUACACGAGUGGCGAACGGGUGAGUAACACGUGAGCAACCUGCCCUUGACUCUGGAAUAACAGUUGGAAACAGCUGCUAAUACUGGAUAUUCAUCGUCUCCUUCCUGUGGGGUGGUGGAAAGCUCCGGCGGUCGGGGAUGGGCUCGCGGCCUAUCAGCUUGUUGGUGAGGUAAUGGCUCACCAAGGCGUCGACGGGUAGCCGGCCUGAGAGGGGGACCGGCCAAACUGGGACUGAGAUACGGCACAGACUCCUCCGGGAGGCAGAAGUGGGGAAUAGUGCACAAUGGGCGCAAGCCUGAUGCAGCAACGCCGCGUGCGGGAUGACGGCCUUCGGGUUGUAAACCGAUUUCAGUAGGGACGAAGGGUGACUGACGGUACCUACAGAAGAAGGACCGGCUAACUACGUG
rnacentral:rRNA from 1 species